rnacentral:rRNA from 1 species
GACGAACGCUGGCGGCGUGCUUAACACAUGCAAGUCGUACGGUAAGGCCCUUUCGGGGGUACACGAGUGGCGAACGGGUGAGUAACACGUGAGUAACCUGCCCACAACUUUGGGAUAACGCUAGGAAACUGGUGCUAAUACUGGAUAUGUGCUCCUGCUGCAUGGUGGGGGUUGGAAAGCUCCGGCGGUUGUGGAUGGACUCGCGGCCUAUCAGCUUGUUGGUGGGGUAGUGGCCUACCAAGGCGGCGACGGGUAGCCGGCCUGAGGGGGUGACCGGCCACAUUGGGACUGAGAUACGGCACAGACUCCUACGGGAGGCAGCAGUGGGGAAUAUUGCACAAUGGGCGCAAGCCUGAUGCAGCAACGCCGCGUGCGGGAUAACGGCCUUCGGGUUGUAAACCGCUUUCAGCAGGGACGAAGCUUUUUGUGACGGUACCUGCAGAAGAAGCACCGGCUAACUACGUG